UGGGGAAUAUUGCACAAUGGGCGCAAGCCUGAUGCAGCCAUGCCGCGUGUGUGAAGAAGGCCUUCGGGUUGUAAAGCACUUUCAGCGAGGAGGAAGGUGGUGAGCUUAAUACGCUCAUCAAUUGACGUUACUCGCAGAAGAAGCACCGGCUAACUCCGUGCCAGCAGCCGCGGUAAUACGGAGGGUGCAAGCGUUAAUCGGAAUUACUGGGCGUAAAGCGCACGCAGGCGGUUUGUUAAGUCAGAUGUGAAAUCCCCGGGCUCAACCUGGGAACUGCAUUUGAAACUGGCAAGCUAGAGUCUCGUAGAGGGGGGUAGAAUUCCAGGUGUAGCGGUGAAAUGCGUAGAGAUCUGGAGGAAUACCGGUGGCGAAGGCGCCCCCUGGACGAAGACUGACGCUCAGGUGCGAAAAGCGUGGGGCAGCAAACAGGAUUAGAUACCCUGGUAGUCCACGCUGUAAACGAUGUCGAUUUUGGAGGUUGUGCCCCUUGAGGCGUGGCUUCCGGAGCUAACGCGUUAAAGUCGACCGCCUGGGGGAGUACGG
rnacentral:rRNA from 1 species